AACGAACGCUGGCGGCGUGUUUAAGACAUGCAAGUCGAACGAGGAAUGCUUUAGCUUGCUUUUGCAUUCCUAGUGGCGGACGGGUGAGUAACACGUGAGCAACCUACCCCAAUGUGGGGGAUAGCCCACCGAAAGGUGGAUUAAUACCGCAUAUGAUCUACGGAUUAAAGAUGCCUUCGGGUGUCGCUUUGGGAUGGGCUCGCGGCCUAUCAGCUUGUUGGUGAGGUAAUGGCUCACCAAGGCUACGACGGGUAGCUGGUCUAAGAGGAUGAUCAGUCACACUGGAACUGAGACACGGUCCAGACACCUACGGGUGGCAGCAGUCGAGAAUCAUUCACAAUGGACGAAAGUCUGAUGGUGCAACGCCGCGUGGAGGAUGAAGGCCCUCGGGUCGUAAACUCCUGUCAUCAAGGAGUAAGCCUUGGUCGUUAAUAGCUUCCAAGGUUGAUAGUACUUGAAGAGGAAGGGACGGCUAACUUCG
rnacentral:rRNA from 1 species